UAGAGGGUAGGAUGGACCUGUGGUCUGAGUCUGUGUGAUGGUUGUGUGCUUCCCUGCCACCUAGUCUCUAACCAUGAAGAAAGACACAGACCUCUGCCUAAGCUGAAGAAAGGUCAAAACUAGCUUUUCAGGGGGACAGGGGGCAUAGAUAGGACAGCACUGUGGCCUGAACACAUCAUGGUAGAGGACUCAUAGUAGGAGGUGUUGAUGCCCAGCAGAAGGGUUAAAGGGGGAAUGAGUCUCCAACACCAUGUCUGGUUUGUCCGGCCCACCAGCCUGGCAUGGCCCUUGUCCGUUGGCAUUGCUGCUUUUGUUCCUGCUCAGCCCCAGCUUGGUCCUUGCCAUUUCCUUCCAUCUGCCCAUUAAUUCUCGCAAGUGCCUCCAUGAGGAGAUCCACAAGGACCUGCUAGUGACUGGUGCGUACGAGAUCUCCGACCAGUCUGGGGGCACUGGCGGCCUGCGCAGCCAUUCCUCAAGAUUACAGAUUCUGCUGGCCAUAUUUUCUACUCCAAAAAGGAGGCAACCAAGGGGGAAAUUUUCCUUUACCACUGAAGAUUAUGACGUUUGAAGUGUGUUUUGAGAGCAAGGGAACAGGGCAGAUACCUGACCAACUCAUGAUGCUAGACAUGAAGCAUGGAGUGGAGGCAAAAAAUUAUGAAGAGAUUGCAAAAGUUGCGAAGCUCAAACCAUUAGAGGUGAAGCUGCAACACCUAGAAGACCUUUCAGAAUCUACUGUUAAUGAUUUUGCCUACAUGAAGAAGAGAGAAGAGGAGAAGUGUGAUACCAAUGAGUCAACAAACACUUGGGUCCUAUACUUCAGCAUCUUUUCAAUGUUCUGCCUCAUUGGACUAGCCACCUGGCAGGUCUUCUACCUGCAAUGCUUCUUCAAGGCCAAGAAGUUGAUCGAGUAAUGAAUGAGGCAUAUUCUACUCCCACCUUGUACCUCAGCCAGCAGAACAUCGCUGGGACAUGCCUGGCCUAAGGCAUCCUAUCAGCAGCACUAUCAAGGUUGGUUGGAGCUUUCUUGCCAGAACUGAUCUCUUUUGGUGUGGGAGGACAUGGGGUACCACCUAUACCCAACAAGUCAAUGAGGGACUUCUUUUUAAUUUGGUAGAAUUUUGACUGGUUUUUACAACAAUAGGUCUAUUAUUAGAGUCACCUAUGACAGAAAGAUAGGAAUUACCUAGAUAAAGUCAAAGUCAGCAUUUGUCCUGGGUUCCCUUGUGUGAUCUGUUUGAACCAUGUUUUCUUUUCUUCUCCCACUUGCUCAGCGGUUUGGGCUUCCACUCUAGUUCUUUUACCAAGAUUUUUGUGUGACCAUAUUGACUUCAUUUGGAUUGUCCUCUUUCAAUUUCCUUGCGAAAACACUCUUAACUUUCUCUUUACCCUUAGCUGAAACGUUUAUGUAGCUUCUGGUGAUAUCUUUUCAUGAUUUUAUGUCUCUUAAAAUGGUGAUGGAUGUGACACUUCAUAAAAGUGAGCUUUGAACUGUAGAUAACUCUUAAAGAAAAUGUCAUUUUAGACAAUUAAAAUAUUCGUGCUUAACUGCUUGAA